rnacentral:lncRNA from 1 species
AAGGAUUUCUUCUUGGACAAUAUCAGAUCUAAAUUUGGGGAUUCACUGAUUUCUUUGUUCUCUUUACAUCCUCAGGUUUAUCUUAGCCCUUCCCCAGCACAGAGCAGGCCUCCAAAGCUGAGGAUAAGUGAGGCUACCUCUACGUCAUCUGGUCUUCCUCCUUGUAAAGGCAGCAGCAACAUGGUGGUCCUCCUUUGCCUUCUAGGCAUUGAUGGAGACAGGAGGAUGCUUCCCUUCCCAGGGGCAAAGCAAGAGAAGAACUAGGCCAUCCAUCCAUCUAGAACCAACAGACUGUGACCUCAAUGCUUUGCUCUCUACUCUGUUCCUGCAAAGACACAAUUCAUCCUGGUUGUGUGUUUUCUGCUAGCUGCAUCAAAAGAGGUUGGGCAAAGCUGUAUCUCAAGUGGAUUCUUCGGUUCUGCCCCAGGGAACAAUAUUGCGGACCUGUCAAAUGCUGUGGUUGUGACUAACAACAUUCACUGAUUUACAAGUGUAGGACCUCCAGCUAUCAAAGAGAACUUUAUCCCACUCUGCAGUAAACACCAUAAUAACAGCGCACAUUCAUUAAGCACCUACUGUGUGCCGGGCAGUAUGCUAAGGGCUUUAUAAUUUUUAUCUCAUUUGAUCCUCUUAGCCACCCUGGGAGGGACGUGCUAUUAUGAGCUCCAUUUUACAGAGGAGGAAAUUAAGGCAAACAGAGG